GACCAACGCUGGCGGCAUGCCUAACACAUGCAAGUCGAACGGACAGAACAGGGAAGCUUUUCGGAGUGGAACUGGAAAGUUAGUGGCGGAUGGGGGAGUAACGCGUGGACAACCUACCUUGUAAAGGGGAAUAACCUCGAGAAAUCGAAGCUAAUACCCCAUAAUAACCUUGCUUCGCAUGAAGUAAGGAGGAAAGGCGGCCUUAGCGCUGUCGAUACAAGAUGGGUCCGCGUCUGAUUAGCUAGUUGGUGAGGUAAAGGCUCACCAAGGCGACGAUCAGUAGCCGGCCUGAGAGGGUGAACGGCCACAUUGGGACUGAGACACGGCCCAAACUCCUACGGGAGGCAGCAGUGGGGAAUCUUCCGCAAUGGGCGAAAGCCUGACGGAGCAAUGCCGCGUGAGUGAAGAAGGCCUUCGGGUUGUAAAACUCUGUCCUUAUCGAAGAGAGAGUGUUGUAGUAACUGACAAUACUAGGACGGUAGAUGAGGAGGAAGCCCCGGCUAACUAUGUG
rnacentral:rRNA from 1 species